GUGCAGUCCAGCUCCACGGUCGCGCGUCCCACAGCUCCCUUCACGUCCGUUCCUCCGUUUCCCCACCUUGGGAGGGCCAGGACUUCCGAGGCUUUAGGGGGCAGGAAGCUGCGAGAAGGUGGCGCUUGCUUAGGUGAGGCGCGGAGGAUGGUAUUAGAGAGAGGAACGUGACUGGAAGCUCCCUGGCCAUGGACGAUCGCUGGGUUCUAGGCGCCUGCUCGCCCCAGCGGUUGACGGUCACGUGAUACCCCCCAGUGUACCUUUCCUGCAGCGUGUUACGUGGCGCACAGAGAACGUCGCUUCCAGAGGACCGUUUUUUCGUAACUGGCAGUAGUAAUCUGGCGGUUGACACUCUCGUUGCCUGUAUAGGCUGAUGGCCCACUCACCUUUUUAGCUGGGCUCCUGACCUGUCCGGCCAGAAAGUUGCCACUGGGAAACCUGGACCCCUACUGAAUGGAUCUGCUGGCACCUAGACCUCAGAGAAGGGGGAACUGAAGACUGAAGUCUGACCACUGUUCUUUGUUGAAAAUUUCUUUCUCAGGGGCUUGGAGGGAUCACAUCUACAAUCCUGAGCUAAUAUUCUCUUCUGCUGUCCCCAAAAUUUAAACGAAGCUUCUCUUAACCCAUUGCAAAUGAGAAAAAUCUUUGAAUCUACCUAUGACUAUAAGCCCUUAUUUCAAGAUAUCCUGCCUUUUUAGGCCAGAACCAAAGUGUAACCUCCAUCUAUUGAUUUACAAUUUUGCCUGUAACUUUGGCUUUCCUGAAAUUUACCCCAGCCUUAAAAAAAAAAAAGAACAGAAAAAGAAAACUGCAAGGCAUCAGGGAGGUCAGAAUUUGGGCAUGAGCUGCCUGAUCCUCCUUGCUUUGCAUCUUUGCAAAUAGAUGCCUUCAGCUGUGCAUGAUGGCUCACACCUCUCAUCCCAGCACUUUGGGAGGGCAAGGCGGGAGGAUUGCUCCAUCCCAGGAGUUCGAGAUCAGGGGCAAAAUGCCGAAACCCUGUCUCUACAAAAAAUUAAAAAAUUAGCUGGGCAUGAUGGUGCACUUCUGUAGUCCCAGCUACUUGGGAGGCUGAGGCAGGGGGAUUGCUUGAGCCCAAGAGGUUGAGGCUACAUGAGCCAUCAUCGUGCCACUGCACUCCAGCCUGGGAAACAGAAUGAGACCCUGUCUCAAAACAAAACAUUUGAAAAAUAACAAGUUCAGGUGCAGUGGCUCAUACCUGUAAUCCCAGCACUUUGGGAGGCCAAAGUGGUCGGAUCACUUGAGGCCAGGAGUUCAUGACCAGCCUGGCCAACAUGGCAAAACCCCAUCUCUACUAAAAAUACAAAAAUUAGCUGGGUGUGGUGGCUGGCAACUCUAGUCCCAGCUACUCCGGAGGCUGAGGCAGGAAAAUCACUUGAACCCAGGAGGCGGAGGUUGAAGUGAGCCGAGAUCACACCACUGCACUCCAGCCUGGGCAACAGAGCAAGACUCUGUCUCCAAAAAUAACAAAAAAUAAAUACAUGCCUUCCUUUCUACUGCUGCACAACCUCACUGUGUCAGGCAGGUGAGUGGACCCCAGUUAGGUUCUAUAACACCUGGGCGAGGGUUUUUAGUAUGGUAAUAAGACUUAGCCACAUUUUGUAUCCAUCUCAGGCAUCUCUGGAUCCAGCUGGUUUUUGUUUUGCUGAGGCUCAGCUUCUUCCUGGAACUUUUUGAAACAACACUCAAGGGUCUCAAGUGGGUAUUUUUUCAUGUUGUAUACCCAAAAACCUGAAAACCCAGGGCCCUGGGUUACAGUAUUUCCACGUCGUAUACCC
rnacentral:lncRNA from 10 species